UAGAAAUUGCCUAAUACUAUUUAGUAACGGGAGAACCAUUGUUGGGGUGAAUCCGCCCUUUGCGGAAGGGAACCUUUCUUCCCGAACCCGUCAGCUAAUCUCGUCGGCAGAGAAGGG
rnacentral:sRNA from 1 species